rnacentral:rRNA from 1 species
GCACAAGCGGUGGAUGAUGUGGUUUAAUUCGAUGCAACGCGAAAACCUUACCCACCUUUGACAUGUACGGAAUCCUCUAGAGAUAGAGGAGUGCUCGAAAGAGAGCCGUAACACAGGUGCUGCAUGGCUGUCGUCAGCUCGUGUCGUGAGAUGUUGGGUUAAGUCCCGCAACGAGCGCAACCCUUGUCAUUAGUUGCUACAUUCAGUUGGGCACUCUAAUGAGACUGCCGGUGACAAACCGGAGGAAGGUGGGGAUGACGUCAAGUCCUCAUGGCCCUUAUAGGUGGGGCUACACACGUCAUACAAUGGAUGGUACAAAGGGUCGCCAACCCGCGAGGGGGAGCCAAUCCCAUAAAGCCAUUCGUAGUCCGGAUCGCAGUCUGCAACUCGACUGCGUGAAGUCGGAAUCGCUAGUAAUCGUGGAUCAGAAUGUCACGGUGAAUACGUUCCCGGGUCUU